rnacentral:rRNA from 1 species
UACGUAGGGGGCAAGCGUUAUCCGGAAUUACUGGGUGUAAAGGGAGCGUAGACGGUAAUGUAAGUCUGGAGUGAAAGGCGGGGGCCCAACCCCCGGGCUGCUCUGGAAACUAUGUUACUAGAGUGCAGGAGAGGUAAGCGGAAUUCCUAGUGUAGCGGUGAAAUGCGUAGAUAUUAGGAGGAACACCAGUGGCGAAGGCGGCUUACUGGACUGUAACUGACGUUGAGGCUCGAAAGCGUGGGGAGCAAACAGG